ensembl:lncRNA
GCACCACCAAGCAAGCUACACCAUGAAGACCAAGGAGUUCUCCAAACAGUCAUUACAGUAAAUCCAUUCCCGCCGAGAUCUCCGCCCACCAGCCAGCACUGGAUGUAAUACCUCUAAACGGCCAUGACGCAAAAGAAGAAUGCCCUGGUACAAAUGCACAAAUGCAUGACCCUCCUCCGCCACCUAGUGGGUAAAGCAAAAGAUGUGGUGCUAAAAAAAGGCUGAAAAUGCAUUUGAGUUGUGUCGUGCCUGAGGAAGUCCUGCAGCAUCAUCAUGAACCACACACCCUAGCCACAAGCUGUUCACUCCCUUACCGUCGGGAAGACGGGGCAUGAGGUCUCAUACCAACAGGCUCAGAGACAGUUUCUAUCUACAAGCCAUCAGGCUGCUGAACACUUGAACUGGACUGACCACCUGCUCUGAUUCUCUGCAACUUAGCACACAUGCACUCACACUCACACUCACACUCACACUCACACUCACACUCACACUCACACUCACACACACAUCACAAUUGCUGCUACCAGAUUCUUCUUUACUAUUGCUAAUACUGCACAAUUUAAACACUUGUCUCCCAAUCCCCCUGUCUCUGUGUAAAUAUUGUACAAUCAAUUGUGCCUUCCUAAAAUGUUUAUUCUAUUCUACUGAGCCAUUUACUUUGUUUGUAUUCUAAUAUUUUCUUAUUUCUUAUUGUUGUUGCAUUGUCGAGAAGGGACCUGCAAGUAAGCAUUUUGUUGGAUAGUGUAUACCAUGUGUACAACAAACUUGAAAUAAGACAUGUGAGUUGCUGGGCAGUCUUACAUAGAACAAACUCCCUGUGAUAGCUCUGUUAAUCCACACAGUAUAUUUGUACUCAGCAGUACCCUCUACUAUUUCAUUAAAGGAAUGACUCUCCAC